AUGAAAGUAGUGGUUGUAGUAGCCAUCAGCUGUCUGACCAGACCCUGUUUUUAUACCACAGCUGUGUUUGUAAAGGCCUCCACGGUGCUGGAGGUGAGUGGCUAUGUUGGAGGAGACGUCUCCAUCCACUGCUCUGGCGGCUGGACCUCAAACCACAGCUCCCAACACAACGGCCUGUACUUCUGCAAAGGCUUCUGCUCCAGAAAGAACAUCCUCGUCCAGAGCGAGCGCGGCGCCCCUGUCACACGAGGGAGGUACAGACUGGAGGUCAACAGAGAACAGGGCGCCUUCUACGUGAUCAUUCGACGGCUGACGAGGGCGGACGCAGGGACGUACAGCUGUGGAGGGGAGGAAACCUUCACGGCUUUGUACCAGGAUAUAAGUCUGACAGUCCUAAACGCCUCGUCGGUUCCUGCUGCUCCCUCCACCACCAUCAGCCGCCGCUCUCUGUCCGGCACCGAACCACCAGCAUCUGCGUCACCUGCUGCAGAGGAGACAAAGCAGCGAGCAGCAGCCAGUCUCACAGCCACCACAGUGGUCAUCAUCGUCUCAGUGAGCCUGGCCCUUCUGGUUUGUGCAGUCAUCCCGCUUAUAUUCUACGGACACUGGAGGAGUAACGCACGCGGUGAGCUGUCACAGUGUCACAGACCUGCACGUCGCUGUACAAGAAGUGACACAUGGUCCAAAAUGAAGAAGAAUCUGUUUGUUUCCGUAGGACGAAACCGUGAAGGAGGAAACAAGUGUGAGUCUGCAGUGGGACUGCAGUCGUUCGAACCCGCGGCAGAUCCGGAUUCGGGUGCUCAGGACGUGAGGCACUACGCUGCUGCUUACCAGGCACUGGAUCCCAAAACUCUGGACUGAGCAAGUUGUUGCUGGGUCUGCGCUGACGACGCGAUUUACAUCAAAUAAAGCUCAUGUUUAAUUAUGCUCUCGUGUGCGC
rnacentral:lncRNA from 1 species